AGUGAACGCUGGCGGUAGGCCUAACACAUGCAAGUCGAACGGCAGCACAGUAAGAGCUUGCUCUUACAGGUGGCGAGUGGCGGACGGGUGAGGAAUACAUCGGAAUCUACUUUUUCGUGGGGGAUAACGUAGGGAAACUUACGCUAAUACCGCAUACGACCUACGGGUGAAAGCAGGGGAUCUUCGGACCUUGCGCGAUUGAAUGAGCCGAUGUCGGAUUAGCUAGUUGGCGGGGUAAAGGCCCACCAAGGCGACGAUCCGUAGCUGGUCUGAGAGGAUGAUCAGCCACACUGGAACUGAGACACGGUCCAGACUCCUACGGGAGGCAGCAGUGGGGAAUAUUGGACAAUGGGCGCAAGCCUGAUCCAGCCAUACCGCGUGGGUGAAGAGGGCCUUCGGGUUGUAAAGCCCUUUUGUUGGGAAAGAAAAGCAGCAGGUUAAUACCCCGCUGUUCUGACGGUACCCAAAGAAUAAGCACCGGCUAACUUCGUG
rnacentral:rRNA from 1 species